CGGACUAAAAUCCGUUGGCUUUAUAGACCAUGAGGGUUCAAGUCCCUCUACCCCCA
rnacentral:tRNA from 25 species